AUUCACUAGUAACCGCAUAUCAGCAAUGAUGCGGUGAAUACGUUCCCGGGCCUUGUACACACCGCCCGUCAAGCCAUGGAAGUUGGGGGUACCUGA
rnacentral:rRNA from 1 species